CAUAAUGGACUUCCCCUCUGAGUGAAUCGCCAGAUGUCAACUGCGAGUUUUCCUGUGGAGCUAACUACACCCCAAAGGCUAUUUUAGGAGCCACAGCACUGAGCAUCUUUGGCUUUGAGCCAACUACACCCCAAAGACUCUUUUAAGGACUACCUAUCACGGCACCUUUG